UUAAUGUAAUAUGUUAAUAAUUGUAGAACCUGCGGAAAGGUAACUUUCUGUUGGCGCAUACAAUACCGGUAGGCAAUUACGCUUUAUUGAGUAAGAGCAUAUUUGGUAGGACCCGAGAGGCUUUGAACUAAGCGUGACGAGAUUGAAGUCAGACGAAAGUCUGAUGGAAGAUCGAAUUGAUACUGACGUGCAAAUCGUUCAUUUCAGUCACGUUUAGGGGCGAAAGACUAAUCGAAAAGCCUAUUAGCUGGUUAUUUUCGAAAGAUCUCUCAGGAUCGCUGGAGUUGAUUAAUAUAAUUUUACCAGGUAGAGAUAAUGAUUAGAGGAAUCAGGGAAAUCGUUUUCCUUGACCUAUUCUCAAACUCCCAAUAGGUAAAAAGGGCUAAAAUAUCUUAAUUUGUAUUUUGCUCAUUCUUAUUAAAUAAGAUAACUCCAAGUGGGCCAUUUUUGGUAAGCAGAACUGGCGAUGAGGGAUGCUCCUAACGCUUGGAUAAGGUGCCUAAAUAUUCGCUCAUGAGAUCCCAUAAAAGGUGUUGGUUCAUAAUGACAGUAGGACGGUGGUCAUGGAAGUCGAAAUCCGCUAAGGAGUGUGUAACAACUCACCUACCGAAUGAACUAGCCCUGAAAAUGGAUGGCGCUAAAGCGGAUUACCGAUACCAAGCCAUAAAAGGAUAAGAAAAAGAGUUUCUUUUUUUAGAAUCCUUUUAUGAGUAGAAAAUCGUGGGGUUUUGUGUUGAAGCGAAAUACGUGAGUUUUCGUGGAACAUAUCCCUAGUGCAGAU
rnacentral:ncRNA from 1 species